rnacentral:rRNA from 1 species
GACGAACGCUGGCGGCGCGCUUAACACAUGCAAGUCGAACGGAAAGGCCUGCUUUCCCUUGUGGAUUGCGGGUACUCGAGUGGCGAACGGGUGAGUAACACGUGAGUGAUCUGCCCCCAACUUGGGUAUAGGCAUGGGAAACUGGGUCUAAUUCUAUAUGGGACUGCGGUGGGGUGCCGGUGGUGGAACGCGUUUUUAUAGUGGUGGGGGAUGAGCGCGCGGCCGCUCAGCUUGUUGGGGGGGAAGUUGCCUAAUAAGGGGGCGACGGGUAGCCGGCCGGGGAGGGUGGACGGCCACAUUGGGACUGGGUCACGGCCCAGACUCCUACGGGAGGCAGCAGUGGGGAAUAUUGCACAGUGGGCGGAAGCCUGAUGCAGCGACGCCGCGUGGGGGAUGACGGCCUUCGGGUUGUAAACUCCUUUCGACCGCGAGGAAGCCACCUGGUUGGAAGGGUGGUGACGGUAGUGGUAGAAGAAGCACCGGCUAACUACGUG